rnacentral:rRNA from 1 species
CUGCGAGCGACAGGGAAGAGCCCAGCACCGAAUCCCGAAGGCCUCGCCUUCAGGGAAAUGUGGUGUUCAGGAGGGUCCGCCAUACCUGCCGUUAAUCGCCGAGUCCAAGUCCAUCUUGAACGGGGCCACGGUCCAUAGAGGGUGCCAGGCCCGUAGGCGGCCGGUGAUUGGCGGUGGGUGGACCUCUCCUUAGAGUCAGGUUGCUUGAGAGUGCAGCCCUAAGUGGGUGGUAAACUCCAUCUAAGGCUAAAUAUAACCACGAGACCGAUAGCGAACAAGUACCGUGAGGGAAAGUUGAAAAGGACUUUGAAGAGAGAGUUCAAGAGUACGUGAAACCGCUCAGGGGUAAACGGACGAGGCCUAAAAUUCCGAAGAGGGAGAUUCACGUCUUCUCGAGGCCCUGUUCCCCGUCGUCGGGACGACCCGUCCCCCCAGUAGGGCAACCUAUUGGGUGGUGCGGAUCGCCCGCCUCGGGGUUCCAGUGUCUCGGAGGACCGCACUUCUCCCUUAGUAGGACGUCGCGACCCGUUCGAGGCCGGUCUACGGCCCCACGCCAAAAGUCUGCCGGGGUGGCGAAAGCCAGCUCCGUCAGGACGUGGGUGUCCCGGCCGUGCUUUGGACGGUAUCAAACGACGGUGUCGAACCGCUCUCGCGAGCGUCCGUGACGCGGGCAAGACGGCGAUGCUUUUUCUGCGACGGACUCCGGUCCGGCCAGUUGGCUCGCCGGCUGUUGGCUCGCGUCCUAGGACAGUGUUCACUGCACCAGUCGGCGGCGCUUUGUUUUGGGUUCUCGCCCGACCCGUCUUGAAACACGGACCAAGAAGUCUAACGUGUGCGCGAGUCAUUGGGUGAAAAACCUAAAGGCGUAAUGAAAGUAAAGGGGACUCUGUCCCUUAGGGAAGAUGGGAGAAGUACCUUCGAAGUUGCUCCCCGCAUUCCCGGGGCGUCUCUUUCUCAUUGCGAGUGGAGGCGCACCUAGAGCGCACACGUUGGGACCCGAAAGAUGGUGAACUAUGCCUGGCCAGGACGAAGCCAGGGGAAACCCUGGUGGAGGUCCGCAGCGAUUCUGACGUGCAAAUCGAUCGUCAGAGCUGGGUAUAGGGGCGAAAGACUAAUCGAACCAUCUAGUAGCUGGUUCCCUCCGAAGUUUCCCUCAGGAUAGCUGGCGCCCAGGCGAGAAGAGUCUCACCUGGUAGAGCGAAUGAUUAGAGGCCUUGGGGUCGAAACGACCUCAACCUAUUCUCAAACUCCUAACAGAUGAGAACCCCGGCUUGCUUGAAGUGAAGCCGGGGGCUCUGAUCAGGGUGCCAAGUGGGCCAUUUUUGGUAAGCAGAACUGGCGCUGUGGGAUGAACCAAACGCAGAGUUAAGGCGCCCGAAUCGACGCUCAUGUGAAACCAUGAAAGGCGUUGGUUGCUUAUGACAGCAGGACGGUGGCCAUGGAAGUCGGAAUCCGCUAAGGAGUGUGUAACAACUCACCUGCCGAAGCAACUAGCCCUGAAAAUGGAUGGCGCUGUAGCGUCGUGCCUAUACUCUGCCGUCAACGGCAAACGGGGCGCGUCCGCAAGGGCGGCGCUGUUACGCCUUGACGAGUAGGAGGGUCGCGGCGAUGUGCGCAGAAGGGUCUGGGCGUAAGCCUGCCUGGAGCCGUCGCCGGUGCAGAUCUUGGUGGUAGUAGCAAAUACUCCAGCGAGGCCCUGGAGGACUGAUGUGGAGAAGGGUUUCUUGUGAACAGCUGUUGCACAAGAGUCAGUCGAUCCUAAGCCCUAGGGGAAACCCGAUGUAGAUGGGACGCCGUUAACAUGUUAUAUCACUUCUGGUGGUGGCGCCCAUCGGGCGAAAGGGAAUCCGGUUCCUAUUCCGGAACCCGGUAGCGGAACCGUUCCAAGUCGGGUCCUCACUAGAGUUCUCGUCGGGGCAACCCGAAAAGACCCGGAGACGCCGUCGGGAGAUUCGGGGAGAGUUGUCUCUUCUCUAUAAGCGUUCGAGUUCCCUGGAAACCUCUAGCAGGGAGAUAGGGUUUGGAACGCGAAGAGCACCGCACUUACGGCGGUGUCCGAAUCGUCCCCACGGACCUUGAAAAUCCGGGAGAGGGCCACGAGGAACACCGCGCCGGCUCGUACCCAUAUCCGCAGCAGGUCUCCAAGGUCAAUAGCCUCUAGUCGAUAGAAUAAUGUAGAUAAGGGAAGUCGGCAAAUCCGAUCCGUAACUUCGGGAUAAGGAUUGGCUCUGAGGAUCGUGGCGAGCCGGGCUUGGUUGAGAAGUGGAGAGGUGUCAACGUGCCGGGCCUGGGCGAGGUGAACAGUGCAAACUGGGAUCCGAGUUCGGUCCCGUGUCUUGGCCACCCACGGACCUUCCUUGCUGUCAGCUGUCGGUGCUCCAUGCGUGCCUGCACGUGUGGACCCGGCAGUCUUUUCGGCCGCCAUUCAACGAUCAGCUCAGAACUGGCACGGACCAUGGGAAUCCGACUGUCUAAUUAAAACAAAGCAUUGCGAUGGCCC